AAAUGAAUAGACGGGGGCCCGCACAAGCGGAGGAACAUGUGGUUUAAUUCGAUGAUACGCGAGGAACCUUACCUGGGAUUGAAAUGCAUAGGGAGGCGACCUGAAAGGGACGCUGUUCUCUUCGGAGACUUAUGUGUAGGUGCUGCAUGGUUGUCGUCAGCUCGUGCCGUGAGGUGUCGGCUUAAGUGCCAUAACGAGCGCAACCCUCAUCGUUAGUUGCUAUCAGGUAAAGCUGAGGACUCUAGCGAGACUGCCGUCGUAAGGCGAGAGGAAGGUGGGGAUGACGUCAAAUCAGCACGGCCCUUAUAUCCAGGGCGACACACGUGUUACAAUGGUGAGGACAAAGGGUAGCUACCUGGUGACAGGAUGCCAAUCUCCAAACCUCAUCUCAGUUCGGAUCGAAGUCUGCAACUCGACUUCGUGAAGCUGGAUUCGCUAGUAAUCGCGCAUCAGCCAUGGCGCGGUGAAUACGUUCCCGGGCCUUGUACACACCGCCCGU
rnacentral:rRNA from 1 species